rnacentral:tRNA from 2 species
GCCGGAGUGAUGAAAUGGUAAACAUGCACGACUCAAAAUCGUGUGCCGCAAGGUUUGUGGGUUCAAGUCCCACCUCCGGCA